GGUAUAGUACACUAGGCUGGUAUAGUAAACUAGGCUGGUAUAGUGGGUAUAGUAAACUAGGCUCGUAUAGUGGAUAUAGUACACUAGGCUGGUAUAGUGGGUAUAGUACACUAGGCUGGUACGGUAAACUAGGCUGGUAUAGUAAACUAGGCUGGUAUAGUGGGUAUAGUACACUGGGCUGGUAUAGCUGGUAUAGUACACUCGGCUGGUAUAGUGGGUAUAGUACACUAGGCUGGUAUAGUAAACUAGGCUGGUAUAGUGGGUAUCGUACACUAGGCUGGUAUAGUGGGUAUAGUACACUGGGCUGGUAUAGUAAACUAGGCUGGUAUAGUAAACUAGACUCGUAUAGCACACUAGGCUGGUAUAGUGGUUAUAGUACACUAGGCUGGUAUAGUAAACUAGGCUGGUAUAGUGGGUAUAGUACACUAGGCUGGAAUAGUGGGUAUAGUACACUAGGCUAGUAUAGUGGGUAUAGUACACUAGGCUGGUAUAGUACACUAGGCUGGUUUAGUAAACUAAACUGGUAUAGUACACUAGGCUGGUAUAGUCGGUAUUGUACACUAGGCUGGUAUAGUAUACUAGGCUGGUAUAGUAAACUAUGCUGGUGUAGUAAACUAGGCUGGUAUAGUGGGUAUAGUACACUAGGCUGGUCUAGUGGGUAUAGUACACUAGGCUGGUAUUGUAAACUAGGCUGGUAUAGUGGAUAUAGCACAUUAUGCUUAUAUAGUACACUAGGCUGGUAUUGUGGGUGAAGUACACUGGGCUGGUUUCGUGGGUAUUGUAGACUUGGCUGGUUUAGUGGGUAUAUUACACUAGGUUGGUAUAGUGGGUAUUGUACACUAGGCUGGUAUAGUUGGUGUAGUACACUAGGCUGGUAAAGUGGGUAUAGUACACUAGGCUGCUAUAGUAAACUAGGCUGGUAUAGUGGAUAUAGUACACUUGGCUGAUAUAGUACACUAGGCUGGUAUUGUGGGUUUUGUACACUAGGCUGGUAUAGUGGGUAUAGUACACUUGGCUGGUAUAGUGUGUUGUGGUUGAGAUGGUAGAUAAGGGCUGUAGUAGGGUUGUAUAGUCAGUUAUGUUGGCCGUUCUGACUGAGACAAGGUUUACUUACUUUUCUUGUAUGUGAGGCAGGUAAUGUAGGUAUGAUCCCUAGAAGUCUCUUGGUCUCUCCCAGCUGUGUGCUGUGAUUGAGGUGGUGGAUUAGAGUUAUAUCAUGGGUAUUUGGUUGGUAGGUAGGUAAUGGAUAGUGGUAGUCUUUUUGUAGGCACUAACUCUGCCAUGGUUCGUUGGACAAAGCCUAUGGGAAAAAUAAAUUGUGUUUUUGUAGGGUUUUGGAUAAACGC
rnacentral:lncRNA from 1 species